rnacentral:rRNA from 1 species
AGUGAACGCUGGCGGUAGGCCUAACACAUGCAAGUCGAACGGCAGCACAGUAAGAGCUUGCUCUUACGGGUGGCGAGUGGCGGACGGGUGAGGAAUACAUCGGAAUCUACUUUUUCGUGGGGGAUAACGUAGGGAAACUUACGCUAAUACCUCAUACGACCUACGGGUGAAAGCAGGGGAUCUUCGGACCUUGCGCGAUUGAAUGAGCCGAUGUCGGAUUAGCUAGUUGGCGGGGUAAAGGCCCACCAAGGCGACGAUCCGUAGCUGGUCUGAGAGGAUGAUCAGCCACACUGGAACUGAGACACGGUCCAGACUCCUACGGGAGGCAGCAGUGGGGAAUAUUGGACAAUGGGCGCAAGCCUGAUCCAGCCAUACCGCGUGGGUGAAGAAGGCCUUCGGGUUGUAAAGCCCUUUUGUUGGGAAAGAAAAGCAGCAGGUUAAUACCACGCUGUUCUGACGGUACCCAAAGAAUAAGCACCGGCUAACUUCGUG